CCUACGGGAGUCAGCAGUGAGGAAUGUUGGACAAUGGGCGCAAGCCUGAUCCAGCUAUUCCGCGUGUGGGAUGACGGCCCUCGGGUUGUAAACCACUGUAGGAGAGAAGGAAAAGGAGCUAGCGAAGAAAUAGCUAUGCUGACGGUACUCUAAGAAGAAGCACCGGCUAACUACGUGCCAGCAGCCGCGGUAAUACGGAGGGUGCGAGCGUUAAUCGGAAUUACGGGGCGUAAAGGGUGUGCAGGCGGCGGAGUAAGACAGAUGUGAAAUCCCCGGGCUUACCCUGGGAACCGCAUAUGUGACUCCUUGGCUAGCGUGCGUCAGAGGGAGGUGGAAUUCCACGUGUAGCCGUGCACUGCUU
rnacentral:rRNA from 1 species